AAAGAACUUAUCAAAUGAAUCGAUUUAGAUGGAUAAUGUGAAAUUAUAUUGGUUAUUCAUAAAACCAAUUUAUUUCAAGAUCCAAAUAUAAUUCAGACAAACUUAAUUUUAAACUAUAUGUUAUAAGUGCCAUUGAAAAGGUAAUUGUCCAAUUAGUUGGCGUGUUAAAUCAUAUAUUUCACUGAAAGAAUUUGAUGAAUCUGUAUAUUUUGCUCAGCUAUGAAGGCAGCAAGAAAAAAAAAUGCCCUCAUUUCCAGCUUUGAUUUUGCAGUUAUACUAGUGAAAACACAAAUUUCUUAUACAGAGAUUCUAAGGCCGCCACAUGGUUUUCUGGGCACAUAAUAUACCCUCUUUAUCCUGAGAAUAAGUCAUGCGAAUCUCCCAAUGCAAGCUCUUCAGUAUUUCCUCUAGUGGAUAUAGUAUCUCCACCUUCUCACGUAUAAUUGCCCACCCACCAGGCCGUAAUAUUCGAUCCAUCUCCACCACAAUUGAUACUGGCUGCUUACACCUGUUCUUAAGCCGUGAGAACAGAUGAUCAGCAUGCACAAGAUCAUAUGAUCUUGGGUAUGUGCCAAAGGACUCGCACCAAUCAUGGUAGACACCAACAAGCCCUCGCUCAUAUAUGAUAGGAAGUGUGUCCGGUGCAUGGACAGGGACUACAUUCAUUACCCAAACCUUCUGCUGUGAUAGAGCUGCAGCAAAUCCCCCAUUGAUGGCUUUCAUGUCCAUUAUAUUCCGGAUACUUGACCAGUCGAUACCAAUUCCGGUCAGAUAAGACUUUUCAACUAUAGCUUUCCAAUGAUUGGUGUCAUCAAUCAAUUUUUCUUUAUUGUUCAUCCAGUCUGGAUAAGUUUCUAGCCUCUUGGGCCAUUCUUCAGGCCAAUCUGUCCCAUGCUGUUCAAUUGAAGAUGGGAUAGUGUCCAAGCAACUCUUCAUAGGAACAUACCUGAUAAAAGAAAAAGUUGCAAUCAUUACUUCAACGCCAUCAAAAUUUGAUUUGGGAACCAGAAAACCAAAAUAAGCUCUACAAAGCCACGUAUAUUAGACAACCUAGAUAAUUAGCCUGAAUAAGCAAUCAAAAUGUUUGUCUUAGUUCUAUGGAACUCUUUCCUACACUAACAAAACCAUGCCAUGAUAUUGUGGCUUUCAUUGUCACAUCGUAAAACUGCCUCCACCAAUGAGAAAAAGCUAAUUUUAUAUGUUGGCUGAAAUGGACAGCUUUGAUAGAAGUUAUCAAGUCUAAACUUCUCCAUGUGUGAUUAUAUUUUUAAGGAUCUUCAAAGAUAGAACUCAUUAAAAGACCUAACCAGAGAAAGUAUUGCUAAGUUGACAAUGUGUUGAACACACUUCAUGUCCAAGCUGAUAUCAUAGGAAGAGUGAGAAACAAGGCUUUCCCCACUCUCCCAAAAUAAAAAUAGACAUGGGGGAAAAAAAACAAGGCACUCCUCUAAUCAUACUAACAUGAAUAGAAAUAAUCUUGAGGUGCAUCUAUUAUUUCCAAAUGAAAUCAGUGAUCUUAAAUUUGCUCCUUGAAAUGGCACAAGCAAUGUUUCAUGUAAAGAAAAUCAGCACAAGUAUUGAUGGCUGUCAUGCUUAAACAAGAAGAUAAAUUACAAAUUGCCUAGGCUUACCAGGCUGCAUCAGGAUUUUCAUUUUCCUUGCACAGAGGUGGAAUUUUCUUUCUUCUCAACUCAUAUAUGUCAUUUGACUCAGGCUUCUGAUAUAUUUUAACACCCACUUCAUUUACUUCAUCAGUUUUAUGAGCUAAAAUAUUCCAACAGAUAGAUGCUGUGAAAGUGAUCAUGGCUUCUUCCUCUUCAACAUUGUCAUGUGUAGUUGACAAAAUGCAGUAUCCACCAGGCCUUAAAAUCCGAUUCAUCUCCAGAAGAAGCUUACCUCCAUGAGAAUGCCAUGGAAUGCUGCACUCGCCACAGUGAAUGGCAUCAAAAACACCACUAGGGAAAGGAAGCCUUCUAGUUGCAAAGGGGCUAACUAUUGCAGGAAAACCCCGCUCUAGAGCAACUUGGGCUAGAUCAACUAGGUCAUCCUUCAAGCCAAGUGACAAUGUCAACACGUCUUUAUCAAGGAGUGAAGCUCCAAAGCUUGAAUCUGUACAUCCAAUGUCCAAUACUACACGAAUAUUCUUUCCCCAUUCAAUGUCUGGUACCAUCUAUUAAACGACAUUGAUAACAGGGAUUAGCUGUUUUCCACUUCAGAUUUACAACGAUAUUUGAUUUCAUUGUUACAAAGUUAUUAAAGUCUGUAUUACAUAGUGGAGAGAGUGGCAAUUUUCAGUGAGAUGGCCAUUUAGGCAAGAGGAAAUGUGUUCUGUUUGGCCGUUGCGUCUCACAAUGCAUAAUGCUUUAGAUCAAACAUAAAGGGGGAGAGGCAUCAAAUGGAUGAAACUUCAUUGCACAAAUGAACUAUGCUUGAAGAUUUCACUACCAAUACCCUCAAUACAAGUAGAUUAAUUGUCUUCGUAAUUAUUUGUACUGCAAUUUAUAUACUUUGAUAGAUGAUCUAAUAGGUUUAAAGAUUGAAAGAUCGUCUAUGAUUGAAAAUGGAUCAAGUUCUAUGAAUUUAGUAUGUUAUAUAAAAUUUUAAUUUAAUAGAUAUAGAGAUUUGUAGCAUAGAUUUUGUAGGUCUCUAAGUCAUGUCUAUUCCUAGGAUAGGAUAGAGGGAUGGGUGUGAUAUUAAAUGGUAUUAUCCUAAAUAUACACUGUUUGAUAAUAGUAAAUGUACAUAUGGUUGCAACUUAAAGAUAGAUGGAUGUUAGUCCUUGAGAUGAAAAAUAUAGAAAAACUCACCGCUUCAAUGGAUUCAAGGUAGUGCUGAACUCCACCCUUGAAUUCAGAUUGGUUUUGGGGAAAGGUAAUGUACUUCCCUGACUGCACCAACCAACUAUUUUUCUUAAUAAAUGCAUCAAGUUUUGGAUGCGCUAAAUUUUUAUACAGUAUCUGCAAACAAAUAACGGAACAUAGCCACAUGAGAACAUCAGCAGACCUCAGCCUUCCCUAAAAUUCAAGAGAGAAACAGACCUUCAACUUGCUCUCAGGCCAGAGCACAGGAAAGCCAUAACCCUCAUGAGGGAGUGGAACAAGACACAUUGGAGGUGUUCUCGGGCAACUUCUCUCAGUAUGCCUAUAGCUUUGCAGCCUUCCAGUACCACUCCCAAUGUCGAUACAAGGAAUGUAAUUGUGCUUGCUUCUUGUGCUACAUAAUCUCCAACUAUAAUGUGCUAUUGGAUCAAAUAAAGGACCCCUUAUCUUCCCCCUCUUUCCAGCACUUUUUGACCCACCACUUUCAUCUUCCACCUUCUCUGUAGCUUCUUGAUCUAUUGUUUCAAUCAAACCACCUUCGCCUUCCACUUCCCCAUUUCCUUCACUUUGACCAUCAGUUGCCUCUUCCCUACCAUCCACUACUUCUCCCUCCUCCUCUUCCAUUUCUAAUUCUUCACUCUCAGAUUCCUCUUGCGAAUUACUAUCUUUUGCCACCCCAUUCGGCAACUUUCUAGCACUAUCUUUCUUAUUAGGUGAUUCUUUCUUACCCUUUUCCCGAGACUCGUGCUCAUUCAUAGACGGAUAAGCAGACCCAUUAAUAUUUUUCUCAUCCUUUUUCGAUUCCAAAUUAGAUUCAACUUUCACCUUAUGAUCUUCUCUACUCGAUUCAUGUUUUUCUGGUUCCUUCUUUUUAGAUUGGGUCUUAGAAUUGCUUACCCUAUUGUUUGCUGGUACUGGUUGAGCGAUAUCGUCGAAGCUUUCCCUCUGAAUGGUUACUGACGAAGAAGAGGAAGAAGAAGAGAACAUAGACCAAACAAAAAUAAAGCAGAGACCCAUAAUCGCUACCGCUGUCACCUUCGCACAUAACCCGUAAGGACGUUUCGCGUGGCGAGCAAGCCGAGCUAUAGCCAUUACUCUAACGCUCAAUGUUCUAUGCAGUAAAUAAGCAGAACUGCACAUAUGGCAAGUAAAUCUACUGACAACUGACAAACCCCACUAAAGGAAAAAGGACAAAACGAUCUGUGAAAAAUCUUUACGGAAUUUGAGCAAAGCAAAGAAAGAGGAGAAGAUCCAAAUCUGGGUAAGUCAUAAAUAACAAUUUCAAUCAAAGGAAAGAAUAUAAUUACCCCUGUGAAGUAAGCAAGGCAAAGCGAACUUCAAGUGCGCAGAUGAGGAAAAACAGGUAAUGAUGAGCUUUCAAGCUGGGUUUGUCUAGUGCAGGCACCUACCCAGCUGAUAACUUACCACAGACUCCAUUAAACAAAUAGAUGAGCAAAUUCAUCUGAGACAAAAUUUUGAAAAUUAAAAAAAUAAUAAAGGGUCAACUCAAGUGAACUUUUGAGUU
rnacentral:misc_RNA from 1 species